GAUGAAAGAACGUAGCGAAAGUGCGAAACGUAAUGUGAAUUGCAGAAUUCAGUGAAUCAUCGAAUCUUUGAACGCACCUUGCGCUCCUUGGUAUUCCGAGGAGCAUGCCUGUUUGAGUGUCGUGAAACCCUCUCAACCUUUGCUCCUUUGCUGUGAGCGGGGUUGGACUUGGACGUGUGCGGGCCUUGUCGGCCCGCUCGUCUUUAAAUGCAUUAGCUGGUCCCUAUGGUCAGGUCCGAGCGACGGUGUGAUAACAUAACGCUUAGUGCGCCGUUCGUUGCUGGCCGGGGGGGUCGCUUACAGUCGUCUGCGGACAAGCCUUUCAUGUCGUCUGACCUCAAAUCAGGUAGGACUACCCGCUGAACUUAAGCAUAUCAAUAAGCGGAGGA
rnacentral:misc_RNA from 1 species